rnacentral:rRNA from 1 species
UACGAAGGGGGCUAGCGUUGCUCGGAAUUACUGGGCGUAAAGGGCGCGUAGGCGGAUCGUUAAGUCAGAGGUGAAAGCCCAGGGCUCAACCCUGGAAUUGCCUUUGAUACUGGCGAUCUUGAGUACGGGAGAGGUGUGUGGAACUCCGAGUGUAGAGGUGAAAUUCGUAGAUAUUCGGAAGAACACCAGUGGCGAAGGCGACACACUGGCCCCGUUACUGACGCUGAGGCGCGAAAGCGUGGGGAGCAAACAGG